CUGGGUGUGGUGCAGUGGGAGCACGCCAGUUCCCUGAACUGGCGGUCGUAGGUUCAAACCCUACCACUCAGACCA
rnacentral:tRNA from 1 species